GCGAAAGUAGCUCAGCUGAUAGAGCAUCACCUUGCCAAGGUGGGGGUCGCGGGUUUGAAUCCCGUCUUUCGCU
rnacentral:tRNA from 1 species